CCGAAUCUCCAACUCAUCCGUUGAUCAGCAGCUUCUUCGACCUCUCUCUACCCCUCUCUCUCUCUCUCUCUCUCUCUCUCUGCAGCAAAAGAAAAAGCCCUAAAAAGGUUUCGAAUUUUGAGGGGGUUUCGGAUUUUCAUUGAUUUCGAAUUCGACAUAAGCAGUGUUGUCUGAGAAAGUUUGAAAACCACCAUGGCUACUAACAACAAAAAUGAAGAACCCAACACAGCUCCUCAGCCCGAUCGUUGGUAUAACCUAACCCUAGGUUCCUCUUUCAAAGACCACCGUCCCUCCUCCAAGUUCUGCACUUUACGUUAUGAAUUUAAACCGGCUUCAAUUGAUAAGAACCAGCCAGGAUCACUGCAUAAGAACAAGGAAAACAGGGUUACUGUAGAAUUCCACAACAACCAACCUGGAAAACCAAAAGUGACCUUCGAGGGCAGUAGCGAGGACUACAAGGAAAAUGAUGCUGUUUUAUUCUUUGGCGGUGAGACCUUUCGGUUGGAACGGUUGCAUCGGGCAGUAAAGCGGUUGAGACAUGUUCGGCUACCUGGUGAGUCUGCUACUGCAGCUGCAACAACUUCACUUGGACCAGCCAUAGAAUCUGGUUCACCACCGCUCGGUAAAGUGGCUAAGUUCCAGUCUUUGAACAAGAGCAUACCACAUUCAAUGCCCGUUGAGAUUGAACGAAUUGAAAUUGGUGACUUCAAGAGUUUAGAUACAAAACCUAAAAAUGAGAAGGUUGUCGAUUAUCCAUCUGCCCGACCAGAUCCAUUUAUUGCAUCACCAAACCUUAAGAAUGAUGACUUGGAGGAACAGAUAGACAUAGUCAAUGACGAUGAAGAUGGUGGUGAAGCAGGCAAUGGCGGGAACGAUGCUGAAAAAGAAUUCCACACCGGUAUUGACAUUAAUGUACCACAUCAAAAUGAUACAGAUGAUGAGAUUGCUGAAGUAGAUGUCAGUGACGAUGAGGAUAAGGGUCGUAACGCCGCAGAAGCCCUUAGAGCACAGGUGAAUGCAGAGGAAAGACGAGAGCAAACUUCAAGCUCUAGUGGCGGCAGUGGGAGCGAGAGUAGCGAAAGUGGGAGUGGAAGCGGAAGUGGGAGCGGGAGUGGGAGUGGGAGCAGCAGCAGUGACAGUGAGAGUGAUGAUGACUCUGUCAACUCUAUCUGAAAACUGGAAGUCCUGCAAGUCACUUCAGUUGAGCACCUCUACAUUGACUGUGAUGGUACAAAACAACAGGUCGGCGAGUAAGAUGCCAGAUCUAGGAAACUGUGUGCAUUGGAACUGUGUGCUUCUGGAGUGGAUUCUGAAUGAAAGCUUUGAGGAAGGGAUUCAUGAAAUUAUCGCGAUCAGAUCUGCAAAGAGGAGAAAAUAACCAAAUAGUGAUUUGAAAUGAGGUACAUAUGAAAAGAAUGUCAACGAGAUAAGAGUAUGUUUGGAUGACCAACCCGCUGCUCGAGCUUCCAUGCAACUCUCCAUGAUGGUGUUUUGUUAAGCUUAAGCCUUGUGGUACACCAUUUCUCUUAUUUGUAUGCCAAUCUCUGUCGCCUCAAAGUAUAUGCCACGGUUGAGUGAGAGAUUUAUGAGUUCUAUACGAGAAGUUCACUCUCAUUUACGCAAAAAAUUAAUUUAAAAAUGAGAAAUUGCUCAGUUUUGUGUAACUUAAAAUUUUGGGAUGGAAUAUCGCAGUUUCAUGUCAUCCCAGUUUCUCAAUUUUGUGAUGAAGUCUGUCAAAUUUGGGAUCAAUUUCCUUAGUUUUUGAAAGGAACUUUCACAGUUUUGGAUUGA